UGCUUUUGUAGCAAUACGAGAGUAUCCUAGUGGCGAACGGGUGAGUAACGCGUUGGUGACCUACCCCAAAGUGUGGGAUAACAGUCCGAAAGGAUUGCUAAUACCGCAUGUGGUUAUUGGAUUUAGAAACUGAUAACUAAAGGAGCAAUUCGCUUUGGGAGGGACCUGCGUCCCAUCAGCUAGUUGGUGAGGUAAUGGCUCACCAAGGCUACGACGGGUAGGGGACCUGAGAGGGUGACCCCCCACAAUGGAACUGAGACACGGUCCAUACACCUACGGGUGGCAGCAGUAGGGAAUAUUGCACAAUGGGCGAAAGCCUGAUGCAGCAACGCCGCGUGUGCGAUGAAGGCCUUCGGG
rnacentral:rRNA from 1 species